UGGAUGCCUAGACGUAUAUUACCGAUGAAGGACGUGGAAGACUGCGAUAAGCUUCGGGUAGCUGCCAACAAGCUAUGAUCCGGAGAUUUCCGAAUGGGAAAACCUAGCAUGAGGAAAGUCAUGCUGUCCUGCGCUGAAUACAUAGGCGUAGUGAACGGGAACCAUCUGAACUGAAACAUCUUAGUAGGAUGAGGAAAAGAAAGUAAAUAACGAUUCUCGGAGUAGUGGCGAGCGAAACGGGAAGAGCCCAAACCUUAUAAGUUUUUGCCUGUUCGCAGGCAAAUAAGCUGAUAGGCGAAUGCUUACAAGGGGUUGUGAUAUUACACACGACCAAGCCAGAGAACUUGAAUUCGUUCGAGGUAUCUGGUUUGCGACUACUGGCUAUCAACGGUAGGUGAGGUAAGAAAACAGCGUGGUUAGCAGAAUAGUUUGAAUGGCUAGCCAGAGAACGUGAAAGCCGUGUACGCAAAAACGACGCUGACCUUAUAUGUGUUUUAUCGAGUAGGACGGGGCACGAGAAACCCUGUUUGAAUCUGGCUGGACCACCAGCCAAGGCUAAAUAUAAUAUACGAUCGAUAGUGAACUAGUACAGCGAUGGAAAGGUGAAAAGAACCCCGGGAGGGGAGUGAAAUAGAUCCUGAAAUUAUGUGCCUACAAGGAGUCGGAGCAGAUUUAUUCUGUGACGGCGUGCUUUUUGUAGAACGAUCCAGCGAGUUAAUUUCGUGCGCAAGGUUAAGUUAGUUAACGGAGCCACAGUGAAAGCGAGCCUGAAUAGGGCGUUUAGUGUACGGAAUUAGACCCGAAACCGGGUGACCUAACCAUGAGCAGGUUGAAGCUACUGUAACAGGUAGUGAAGGACCGAACCAGGAUACGCAGCAAAGUGUUUGGAUGACUUGUGGUUAGCGGUGAAAUGCCAAUCGAACUCGGAGAUAGCUGGUUCUCCUCGAAACAGUUUUAGGACUGGCGUCAUGUGGUAGCAGUCGGGGGUAGAGCUCUGUAAAGGACUGGGGGGAGCAAUCCUACCCACCCUUAACAAACUACGAAUACCGGCUGUGGAAUCAUGGCAGUUAGAACGGCGGAGCUAAGUUCGUCGCUCAAAAGGGAAACAGCCCAGACCAUCGUCUAAGGUCCCUAAAUUUACGUUAAGUGGGAAACAAGGUGAGAUUUCUUAAACAGCUAGGAUGUUGGCUUAGAAGCAGCCAUUCAUUUAAAGAGUGCGUAACAGCUCACUAGUCAAGAGAUCUUGCGUGGAAAAUGUAACGGGGCUAAACGUAAUACCGAAGACAUGGGUCUAUGCAUUAGCAUGGGCGGUAGAGGAGCGUUCCUAUCGGCAGUGAAGCAGCAUUGUAAAGUGCUGUGGAGCGGUAGGAAGUGAGAAUGCUGGAAUGAGUAACCAUAAGAUAGGUGAGAAUCCUGUCGGCCGUAAGAGCAAGGUUUCCUGAGCUAUGGUAAUCAUCUCAGGGUUAGUCGGGCCUAAGCCGAGGCGCAUAGCGUAGGCGAUGGACAUCAGGUUGAUAUUCCUGAACCGGCGUAGUUUGUACACUGUUCACGGAGAGAUAUUCAGAGCGGAUUCAUGGUUUAUCCGUCCAACCGAGCGGGAACGCAAAGGGAGUGAAAGUGAUUCUUCGGAGUCGCGAUUUUGGUGAAAGCCCUGGCUAGAAAAGCAGGUGUACGCGUGGCUAUGUCCGCCCGUACCGCAAACCAACACAGGUGCUCGAGUCGAGUAGACUCAGGCUUACGAGUGAACCUUCGCUAAGGAACUCGGCAAUACAGCGACCGUAACUUCGGGAUAAGGUCUGCCCCCACUUCGGUGGAUAUCAGCCGCGUUCACUCAGUGAAUGUAUAGGUUAAAGAGUACAUUUUUAAUCACAAAACGAAUUUUCUGAGACACGAGCAAACAAAUUGCUCUUUGAACGCGAACCUCUUGUAUCUAACGAUGUGGGGGCCGCAGCAAAAGAGCCCACGGAACUGUUUAUCAAAAACACAGCUCUCUGCUAACACGAAAGUGGAUGUAUAGGGGGUGACUCCUGCCCGGUGCUGGAAGGUUAAGGGGAGUGCUUCACGGUACGAACUGAAGCCCCAGUGAACGGCGGCGGUAACUAUAACCGUCCUAAGGUAGCGAAAUUCCUUGUCAGGUAAGUUCUGACCCGCACGAAUGGAGUAAUCAUGUGGGCACUGUCUCAGCGAAGGACUCGGUGAAAGUGCAUUGGCGGUAAAGAUGCCGUCUGUCCGUACCAGGACGAAAAGACCCCAUGGAGCUUUACUACAGCUUUACAUUGAAUACGGUUUCAACAUGUGUAGCAUAGGUGGGAGAUAUUGAAGCAGAUACGCCAGUAUUUGUGGAGUCACCAAGUGAAAUACCACCCUUGUUGUGAUUGUGUUCUCACGCUGACCGUUAUCCGGUUAGCGGACCGUGUAUGGUGGGUAGUUUAACUGGGGCGGUUGCCUCCUAAAGAGUAGCGGAGGCGUUCAAAGGUUGGCUAACUUCGGAUGGAAAUCGAAGUGAUAGUGUAUGCGCACAAGCCAGCUUGACUGUGAGGAGUACAUUCCAAUCAGAGACGAAAGUCGGAGCAAGUGACCCGCUGUACGAACAUUUGUUCAUUGAAUGUGGGAUCGACAGCGCACACGGAUAAAAGUUACCCUGGGGAUAACAGGCUUAUAGCGCCCAAUAGUUCACAUAGACGGCGCUGUUUGGCACCUCGAUGUCGGCUCAUCACAUCCUGGAGGGGGAGCACCUUCCAAGGGUUCGGCUGUUCGCCGAUUAAAGUGGUACGCGAGCUGGGUUCAGAACGUCGUGAGACAGUUCGGUUUAUAUCCGGUAUGGACG
rnacentral:rRNA from 1 species